UACGAAGGGGGCUAGCGUUGCUCGGAAUCACUGGGCGUAAAGCGCACGUAGGCGGAUUUUUAAGUCAGGGGUGAAAUCCUGGAGCUCAACUCCAGAACUGCCUUUGAUACUGGCGACCUUGAGUCCGGGAGAGGUGAGUGGAACUGCGAGUGUAGAGGUGAAAUUCGUAGAUAUUCGCAAGAACACCAGUGGCGAAGGCGGCUCACUGGCCCGGUACUGACGCUGAGGUGCGAAAGCGUGGGGAGCAAACAGG
rnacentral:rRNA from 1 species